rnacentral:rRNA from 1 species
AAGCUCGUAGUUGAAUUUCGGGAUUAGUACGUUGGUCGUGCCUUAGGUACGUACUGGUGUUACUGGUUCCUCCUUCCUGAUGAGCUGUAAUGCCAUUAAUUUGGUGUUGCGGGGAAUCUGAACUGUUACUUUGAAAAAAUUAGAGUGUUUAAAGCAGGCUAACGCUUGAAUACAUUAGCAUGGAAUAAUGAAAUAGGACGUUCGAUCCUAUUUUGUUGGUUUCUUAGGAUUGACGUAAUGAUUAAUAGGGAUAGUUGGG